CAGGAACAAUAUGAACGUCAUCAUCGGUGAUAGAUCAGCCUGUGAUGAAUGCUUCACCAGCAGAGGGCGAUACAGGACUACACUUCACUAGAGCGCGAGACCGGUAUCUGCCCUCGGGCUAUACGGCAGUUAAGGGAGAGCCAGGAAGCUGUCGUCUGUCCAGGAUGCAGUCAGGUUUCGCCCACCUGUACACAUCAUAAACCCAGAUGAAAGGAGACUUUAAAAACAUACUUUAUUGGCAAAUAUGUUCCCCUCCACCCUGCCUUUGGAAAUCUCCUUUAAACAGCGUGUGCCUGUGAGAGGAGAGACUGUUUGCUCUCUGGCUCUGUAUCUCUGAUAAAUGUCACCUGGUCCAGUCUUUGUUAGUGUGAACAGGGAAACGAGAAGCAUAUGUCUAUGACCAUCCAAACACGGAAGUAACCAGGACACACCCGGAGUCAUAAACUGUGGCAAAGGGCCAAACCUUUGGAUCAUAUGCAGAUAGAGGCAUUUUAGCAGUAGCACAUCGAAGUUGACACUUAAAUCAAAGGUGAGAUCUCCGUGCACCAACCCACAUGAGAGGACCUACAAUCUCAGAAAAAAAGGUACUAAAGAGUUGUCACUGGGGCAGUCCCUUUGCAAAAAGUACACGUUUGCACCUAAAAGGUAAAUAUUGCUACUACUUGGUCAGAUAGCGUCUACUUCAAAAUGCAAAAUAUACGUUAGCAGCCAAUGUUAAACGUUAAUGAUUUGGGACAAAUGAUGUUAUUUAAUGUUAAACUAUGUGAGUGGCGCUCUGUGGCGCGACAGGGAUUUGAGCAACUUCCUGAGCAUAGCUGGGCGCCAUGAACAGGCGCAACCUGUCGGCGCUGCGCGUUCGGUGUGCGACCCCCACACGCUGUAAGUCGUAGCGGGGCGCCAUGGACAGGCACCACCUGUCGGCGCCGGUGUGCGUAUACUCAUAGAAAACAAUGUGUUUGUAUUGUUAGAAUGGCACGGCGCUGAGCUGCGCGUUCGGUGUGCGACCCCCACACGCUGUAAGUCAUAGUUGGGCGCCGUGGACAGGCGCCACCUGUCGGCGCCGGUGUGCGUAUACUCAUAGAAAACAAUGUGUUUGUUUUUUUUCGAAUGGCACGGCAGUGUGCAAC